rnacentral:piRNA from 1 species
UGGGUGGAAGUCUUCACGAUCUCAUAACUC